UGGGGGCGGGGCUUCUUCCACCCGCGGUUUGAAGCAGAUUCUCUCCUGAGGCUAAAGUUGAAUUAACUUUAAUUUUAUGAAGAGAAAACGACGCGAAACCGAGACGAAAACGCAACGGAACGAUUUAACAGUUGCUGAAACAGCUUGAUCGGCCACGCCGGGGUGAAGGAGGGGCAGCGCCGUGUGUCAGGGGAUCAAACCUGCAGUUGCAGGGAUGGACCGUCCACAAACCACCACCUCCCCCACAGGGACUGACCUCACCUGGAUGGACUAAGCUCACCUGGAUGGACUGAGCUCACCUGGAUGGACUGAGCUCAGCUGGACCACCGUGAGUCGACCAGCACAAGACGCGGGGCAGAGGGGGAGCACCGGAGCGCCGGAUCACCGGAGCGCCGGAGCGGAUCAGGCCACGUGCCAACACCUCGGAAUCUGACCUCCUUUGUUCCCUGACUCCUGAGCUCUGUCUCUCCUGCUCACAUCUGAGGAACCAUGUGAUGGUAAUUAGGCCAAAGCCCAUUAAAAAGUCAAAUAAGAGAGAAUACAUUAUCAUUGAGGAGCCAGUACCUGAUGAUUUUCAGCUGAGUGUGACAGAGAAGGACGAAGACACAAAGUGCUGCUGCUGCACCAAGACAGAAAAGUUCCAUUGUUUACUGUGGUAGUGAGAAUAAACCACACUGGAUUCUCUGUCCCUUUGUUAUCCUGGUUAAUUGUUACUGACACAGCCAGAAACAACCAAAGUCAACAGUGUUUCACUGUUUCACUGUGUCUGUGUCAGGUUUACUGACACACGUAACAAAAGACUCAGUGAAUAACAUCUGUCAGUUUAAGUCUCUACGAUCUCUACGUCACAUGAUCACGUCUUUACCGCACUGACGUUUGUAAACCACUCACUCUCCCACACCAAACCUCAGAGAGAGAAUCUGCUGCCUCGUGUGGUCACUUUGUGUCACUGAGGUCAAUCUGAACGUUAGAUUCCAAACACUGAAGUGACAAAUUAAGACAUUGGAACUUAGUGAUGGAGGCAGCUGUGUGUGUGUGUGUGUGUGUGUGUGUGAGAUGUUAAAGUCACUGAUUUUCUCUGUGGACUUUGGUGUGGGAGAGUGAGUCUUUUGUCAAAGGUCCUCUGUUAUAGCAUUACAUACAGUAAAUAUGUUUAAAGUAUAGCUUAAUUGAUAACCAAAUGAAUUGCCAACUAUUUUAUUGUCAGAUUUUCAGAUUUUUCAGCUUCUUAAAUGUGAAAACUAGAUGUUUGAGAAACACUGAUCAAUAUUUCCUGAUGUUUUAUUGAUAAAAUAAUCCA